rnacentral:rRNA from 1 species
UACGGAGGGGGCUAGCGUUGUUCGGAAUUAUUGGGCGUAAAGGGCGCGUAGGCGGUGCGGUAAGUCACCUGUGAAAUCUCCUGGCUCAACUGGGAGCUUGCAGGCGAAACUGCCGUGCUGGAGUGUGGGAGAGGUGCGUGGAAUUCCCGGUGUAGCGGUGAAAUGCGUAGAUAUCGGGAGGAAGACCAGUGGCGAAGGCGGGUCUCUGGACAGUUCCUGACACUGAGGCACGAAGGCUAGGGAGCAAACGGG